AACGCACGAGACCUGCGGACCUGCGGAGGGAUCAUUAUCAAUUUACAGCGGACUUCGGUCCUGUCUGCACCCUUGUCUUUUGCGUACUAUAUGUUUCCUCGGUGGGCUUGCCUGCCGAUAGGACACUUAUAAACUCUUUUGUAAUUGCAAUCAGCGUCAGAAAACUAUAAUAGUUACAACUUUUAACAACGGAUCUCU
rnacentral:misc_RNA from 1 species